AAACCAUGAUUUGAGAAUUUACGAAGCAAUCCCUUGUAACGAUCCCAACAUUCAUAAAAUGACUCGUCAUCAUCUUGACGAAAAGAAGCAAUGUCAUUCCUCAGUUG